rnacentral:RNase_P_RNA from 1 species
GCAGUCGGGCGUUUCGUCGCUCACCGACCUAUGAGCGGUGUGAGGAAAGUCCGGGCAACAUAGAGCACCAUACUUCUUAACGGGAAGCUGUCGGCGACGGCAGAGUAGUGUGACAGAAAAUAACCGCUUCGCCCCUUCCCUCGCGGAAGAGCGAAGUAAGGGUGAAAAGGUGGGGUAAGAGCCCACCGGANUCCAUAGCGAUAUGGAUUGCCGCAUGCCUUAUGGGUUGCAAGGCCAAGUAUACCGGCAUUUAAGGGUUGCUCGCCCACUGCCGGGGGGUAGGCUGCUUAAGCCGUAUGGCGACAUACGGAUCAGAUAAAUGACGAGACAGCGGGAAGACCUUACGGUCCGCCCGCUGACAUAACCCGGCUUAUAGCCCGACUGCUUUU